GCGAGCUGGUGGACGAUUACUGCGAAAGCAGAGGAAACUCCUCCCUCAAUGCAGAUGUGUGUUGCGGUGACGCAAAGCCAGAGAUGGCAGGCAACAGAACAGAAAAAAUCCGAGUUGGAGCACCAUGAUGGGCAAUCCCCUGAGCUUUCCAGCAAAUAGGAAUGAAAAGUCUGUCCCAUACAGAGAAAAGCCAAACAGAACUUGGAUCUGCACCUAUAGUUCAGGUAGGCUGCAAAGCGAAAUGUCGUUUACAAACAGAAGGAGGGUUACGGCCAGCACGC
rnacentral:RNase_P_RNA from 1 species